UACGAAGGGGGCUAGCGUUGUUCGGAAUCACUGGGCGUAAAGGGCGCGUAGGCGGCCGAUCAAGUCGGGGGUGAAAGCCUGUGGCUCAACCACAGAAUUGCCUUCGAUACUGUUUGGCUUGAGACCGGAAGAGGUUAGUGGAACUGCGAGUGUAGAGGUGAAAUUCGUAGAUAUUCGCAAGAACACCAGUGGCGAAGGCGGCUUACUGGUCCGGAUCUGACGCUGAGGCGCGAAAGCGUGGGGAGCAAACAGG
rnacentral:rRNA from 1 species